GAUGAACGCUGGCGGCGUGCCUAAUACACGCAAGUCGAGCGAACAGAUGAGUAGCUUGCUCCUCUGACGUUAGCGGCGGACGGGUGAGUAACACGUGGAUAACCUACCUAUAAGACUGGGAUAACUUCGGGAAACCGGAGCUAAUACCGGAUAAUAUAUUGAACCGCAUGGUUCAAUAGUGAAAGACGGUUUUGCUGUCACUUAUAGAUGGAUCCGCGCCGCAUUAGCUAGUUGGUAAGGUAACGGCUUACCAAGGCAACGAUGCGUAGCCGACCUGAGAGGGUGAGCGGCCGCACUGGAACGGAGACACGGUACAGACUCCUACGGGGGGCAGCAGUAGGGAAUCUUCCGCAAUGGGCGAAAGCCUGACGGAGCAACGCCGCGUGAGUGAUGAAGGUCUUCGGAGCGUAAAACUCUGUUAUUAGGGAAGAACAAAUGUGUAAGUAACUAUGCACGUCUUGACGGUACCUAAUCAGAAAGCCACGGCUAACUACGUG
rnacentral:rRNA from 1 species